CGGGGUGCAGCAGGCGCGAAAACUUUACAAUGCCGGCAACGGCGAUAAGGGAACCUCGAGUGCCAGGUUACAAAUCUGGCUGUCGUGAUGCCUAAAAAGCAUUGCAUAGCAAGGGCCGGGCAAGACCGGUGCCAGCCGCCGCGGUAACACCGGCGGCUCGAGUGGUAACCGUUAUUAUUGGGUCUAAAGGGUCUGUAGCCGGCCGGGUAAGUCUCUUGGGAAAUCUGGCAGCUUAACUGUCAGGCUUUCAGGAGAUACUGCCUGGCUCGAGGCCGGGAGAGGUGAGAGGUACUUCAGGGGUAGGGGUGAAAUCUUGUAAUCCUUGAAGGACCACCAGUGGCGAAGGCGUCUCACCAGAACGGACCUGACGGCAAGGGACGAAAGCUAGGGGCACGAACCGGAUUAGAUACCCGGGUAGUCCUAGCCGUAAACGAUACUCGCUAGGUGUCGGCCACGGUGCGACCGUGGUCGGUGCCGUAGGGAAGCCGUGAAGCGAGCCACCUGGGAAGUACGGCCGCAAGGCUGAAACUUAAAGGAAUUGGCGGGGGAGCACAAGG
rnacentral:rRNA from 1 species